AUGUGCCCUCAGUUGUCUCCAGAUGAGAAGCUUGCUUCUGAAGAAAGCCUCAAGUUGUACUGCAGACCAAUUGAGUGGUACAAUAUUAUUCAACAUCGAGCUGCUAAAAAUCCCACUUUCCUGCAAAGAUGCCUUGAUUACAUGAUAGAAGCAAGACGAAAAAAGAGGAUUCAAUUAACUGUAUCACUCUCUCGAGGUACAAAUACUGCAUGUCGAGAACAGAAUAUCUUCCCUCUUUAUGUUCUGUUAGCUACACCUACUAGUAACCUUUCACUUGAAGAGCACCCUCCCAUAUAUCGAUUCAGUCGGGCCUAUUUUCUUACAUCUUUUGGUGGAUUUGGUAGUAAAGAUCACACCAAAGCUACAUUUGUAAUUCCAGACAUCGAGAAUUUAGCAUCCUCCAGAGCUUCCAACCUUAACAUUAUCAUUAUCAGCCGUGGACAAGUUGGAGAAGAUAUUGGUGAAAACAACUGCACCGGGGGCCAUUUGGAACGAUCUGCUCUCCAAAAACUUGAAGGGAAAUGUUUCUGGGGUAAUAUAUCAAUUAAUUUACUUCGUUUGUCAUUGGAGAAUCAUGCGUCAACUUUAAAUUUGGGACAUACCAUGAAGUUAACUUCUACGGUUGAAAUGAGACCAAGUUUCUUAGAGAAAAAAUUUCUUGAGCAAGACAAUUGCUUGACAUUUUGCUCUCACAAGGUUGAUGUUACGGGUUCAUAUAAACUCCAAGUUGGCAUAUCUGCUCAAGAGGCUGGUGCAAGAGACAUCCGUGAAAAUCCAUAUAGUAGUUACUCAUACAGUGAUGUCCCAACUCCGUCAUUACCUCGUAUAGUAAGGUAA
rnacentral:rRNA from 1 species